CAAUAGCGUAUAUUUAAGUUGUUGCAGUUAAAAAGCUCGUAGUUGGAUUUCGGUUAAGAGCGACCGGUCCGCCGUUUGGUGUGCACUGGUUGGUUUUAACUUCCUGUAGAGGACGUGCUCUGGGUUUAACGACCUGGACUCGGAGUCUACGUGGUUACUUUGAAAAAAUUAGAGUGUUCAAAGCGGGCUUACGCUUGAAUAUUUCAGCAUGGAAUAACACUAUAGGACUCCUGUCCUAUUUCGUUGGUCUCGGGACGGGAGUAAUGAUUAAGAGGAACAGUUGGGGGCAUUCGUAUUUCAUUGUCAGAGGUGAAAUUCUUGGAUUUAUGAAAGACGAACUUCUGCGAAAGCAUCUGCCAUGGAUGUUUUCAUUGA
rnacentral:rRNA from 1 species